AGUCACUGACAUUAGAUACCCCUGUAGUCCAGGGUGUAAACGCUGCAGACUUGGUGUUGGAAGUCCUUUGGGGGCAUUCAGUGCCGGAGAGAAGUUGUUAAGUCUGCUACUUGGGAGUACGUCCGCAAGGAUGAAACUUAAAGGAAUUGGCGGGGGAGCACCGCAACGGGAGGAGCGUGCGGUUUAAUUGGAUUCAACACCGUAAAACUCACCAAGGAAGACUGUUACAUGAAAGCCGAGAUGAAGACUCUGCUAGAUUUUCAG
rnacentral:rRNA from 1 species